UACGUAGGGGGCUAGCGUUGUCCGGAAUCAUUGGGCGUAAAGCGCGUGUAGGCGGCCUUGUAAGUCCGUUCUGAAAGCCCGGGGCUCAACCCCGGGAGGCGGAUGGAUACUGCAAGGCUCGAGUCCGGAAGAGGCGAGUGGAAUUCCCGGUGUAGCGGUGAAAUGCGCGGAUAUCGGGAGGAACACCAAUGGCGAAGGCAGCUCGCUGGGACGGUACUGACGCUGAGACGCGAAAGCGUGGGGAGCAAACAGG
rnacentral:rRNA from 1 species